rnacentral:misc_RNA from 1 species
AAAAUGCGAUAAGUAAUGUGAAUUGCAGAAUUCAGUGAAUCAUCGAAUCUUUGAACGCAGAUUGCGCCCGCCAGUAUUCUGGCGGGCAUGCCUGUUCGAGCGUCAUUUCAACCCUCAAGCCCCCGGGUUUGGUGUUGGGGAUCGGGCUGCGGUUCUACCGCGUCCCGGCCCCGAAAUCUAGUGGCGGUCUCGCUGCAGCCUCCAUUGCGUAGUAGCUAACACCUCGCAACUGGAACGCGGCGCGGCCAAGCCGUUAAACCCCCAACUUCUGAAUGUUGACCUCGGAUCAGGUAGGAAUACCCGCUGAACUUAAGC